AUUUUUCCGCGUGCGGUUGCUCGUGACAUUCGCGAUUACAGGCGUGCGAUUUUCACCAUUCAACGGUGACGUCCCCGAUAAGAAGGAAGUCAUCUAUCUGAGCCCCUUGAGCUCUGUUGAGUGGCAAGAAGUCAAACACGUGAAUUGAUAGCAAAGCAAA